GCACUGCUGACGUGUCCCAAGCAGGACGAAACAGCUGUCCAGUGC
rnacentral:hammerhead_ribozyme from 1 species